UACGAAGGGGGCUAGCGUUGCUCGGAAUGACUGGGCGUAAAGGGCGCGUAGGCGGUUUGUACAGUCAGGUGUGAAAUUCCCGGGCUCAACCUGGGGGCGGCACUUGAGACGUAGGAACUGGAGUGAGGAAGAGGGUCGUGGAAUUCCCAGUGUAGAGGUGAAAUUCGUAGAUAUUCGGAAGAACACCAGUGGCGAAGGCGACUAACUGGACAUGUAUUGACGCUGAAGUACGAAAGCGUGGGGAGCAAACAGG
rnacentral:rRNA from 1 species